rnacentral:rRNA from 1 species
UGGGGAAUAUUGGACAAUGGGCGAAAGCCUGAUCCAGCCAUGCCGCGUGUGUGAAGAAGGCCUUUUGGUUGUAAAGCACUUUAAGUGGGGAGGAAAAGCUUAUGGUUAAUACCCAUAAGCCCUGACGUUACCCACAGAAUAAGCACCGGCUAACUCUGUGCCAGCAGCCGCGGUAAUACAGAGGGUGCAAGCGUUAAUCGGAAUUACUGGGCGUAAAGCGCGCGUAGGUGGUUAUUUAAGUCAGAUGUGAAAGCCCCGGGCUUAACCUGGGAACUGCAUCUGAUACUGGAUAACUAGAGUAGGUGAGAGGGGAGUAGAAUUCCAGGUGUAGCGGUGAAAUGCGUAGAGAUCUGGAGGAAUACCGAUGGCGAAGGCAGCUCCCUGGCACCAUACUGACACUGAGGUGCGAAAGCGUGGGUAGCAAACAGGAUUAGAUACCCUGGUAGUCCACGCCGUAAACGAUGUCUACCAGUCGUUGGGUCUUUUAAAGACUUAGUGACGCAGUUAACGCAAUAAGUAGACCGCCUGGGGAGUACGGCCGCAAGGUUA